rnacentral:rRNA from 1 species
UACCGAGUGCGGGCUGCCUCCGGGCGCCCAACCUCCCACCCGUGACUACCUAACACUGUUGCUUCGGCGGGGAGCCCUCUCGGGGGCGAGCCGCCGGGGACUACUGAACUUCAUGCCUGAGAGUGAUGCAGUCUGAGUCUGAAUAUAAAAUCAGUCAAAACUUUCAACAAUGGAUCUCUUGGUUCCGGCAUCGAUGAAGAACGCAGCGAACUGCGAUAAGUAAUGUGAAUUGCAGAAUUCAGUGAAUCAUCGAGUCUUUGAACGCACAUUGCGCCCCCUGGCAUUCCGGGGGGCAUGCCUGUCCGAGCGUCAUUGCUGCCCAUCAAGCCCGGCUUGUGUGUUGGGUCGUCGUCCCCCCCGGGGGACGGGCCCGAAAGGCAGCGGCGGCACCGUGUCCGGUCCUCGAGCGUAUGGGGCUUUGUCACCCGCUCGAUUAGGGCCGGCCGGGCGCCAGCCGACGUCUCCAACCAUUUUCUUCAGGUUGACCUCGGAUCAGGUAGGGAUACCCGCUGAACUUAAGCAUAUCAAU